GACGAACGCUGGCGGCGUGCCUAAUACAUGCAAGUUGAGCGAUGAAGAUUGGUGCUUGCACCAAUUUGAAGAGCAGCGAACGGGUGAGUAACGCGUGGGGAAUCUGCCUUUGAGCGGGGGACAACAUUUGGAAACGAAUGCUAAUACCGCAUAAUAACUUUAAACAUAAGUUUUAAGUUUGAAAGAUGCAAUUGCAUCACUCAAAGAUGAUCCCGCGUUGUAUUAGCUAGUUGGUGAGGUAAAGGCUCACCAAGGCGAUGAUACAUAGCCGACCUGAGAGGGUGAUCGGCCACAUUGGGACUGAGACACGGCCCAAACUCCUACGGGAGGCAGCAGUAGGGAAUCUUCGGCAAUGGACGAAAGUCUGAACGAGCAACGCCGCGUGAGUGAAGAAGGGUUUCGGAUCGUAAAACUCUGUUGGUAGAGAAGAACGUUGGUGAGAGUGGAAAGCUCAUCAAGUGACGGUAACUACCCAGAAAGGGACGGCUAACUACGUG
rnacentral:rRNA from 1 species